UAAGACAGAGGUGGCAAGCGUUGUUCGGAAUUUACUGGGUCGUAAAGAGUCUGUAGGUGGUUUGUCAAGUCUUUGGUGAAAGGCCGUAGCUUAACUAUGGGAAUGCCAAAGAGACUGGCAGGCUGGAGGCUGGAGAGGGAAGCGGAAUUUCUGGUGUAGCGGUGAAAUGCGUAGAUAUCAGAAGGAAGGCCGGUGGCGAAGGCGGCUUCCUGGAACAGUCCUGACACUGAGAGACGAAAGCGUGGGGGAGCAAACAGGAUUAGAUACCCUGGUAGUCCACGCCCUAAACGAUGGGUACUAAGUGUGGAGGGGUUAAACCCUCCGUGCCGCAAGCAAAC
rnacentral:rRNA from 1 species